CCUCGUGAUCUGUCUGCCUCGGCCCCACAAAAGUGCUAGGAUUACAGGUGCGAGCCACCAUGCCAGGCCAAACAUAUGUUUUUAACUUACCAAGGAGCAUGAUUACUGGAUCAUGUAACAGGAUUGUGUUUAGUUUUGUAACAUAUUGCCUGGUAUGGUUUGGAUCAGUGUCCCUACCAGUCGUCAUGUUGAAAUAUAAUCCCCAAUGUUGGAGGUGGGGCCUGAUGGGAGGUGGCUAACUGGGACAUAUUUUCUCCUUGGUACUGUUGUCAUGAUAGUGAGUAAAUUCUGCGAUCUGGUUGUUUAUAAGUUUUGGCACCUCCCCGGUCUCUCUCUUCCUCCUUCUCCAACAGUGUGAAGUGCUGAUUCCCUCUUCACCUUCUGACAUGAUUGUAGGUGUCCUGAGGCCUCCCAGAAGCCAAGCAGAUGACAGCAUCUUGCUUCCUAUACAACCCGAAGAACUGGGCAGUAAUUUCCAGGACUCUCCGCAGCCAGAUCACACUUGUGGCCACAACACCGGAUACUUGCAAUACCAUGCAGGCUUUUGCGCCUGAGGCCAUUAGAGAUAUUUGGGGCAGUAUCUUGAUUUCUCUAAACUUUUUUCCUUCCUUUAUGUCCUUACGUCUGGAAUUUACAUGAUUCAUUAUGGAUGCUAUUGUACAUAAUUUUGACAUUGAUUUUGAUUUUUCUUUCUUGUGAAAUUUUGAAUGAGCAAAGUUGACAUUCUGCUUUUAAUGCAUCCUAAUAAGAAGUCACAAAUUCUCUAAAUAUACUUUUAUUUGGAGGAUGCCUGUUCUAAAUGAAUUUAAAUAGCUAAAGAUAAAUACAGUUCCUAAAGUUUACUUUGGCUAAUAUAAAUGUUAGCACAAAAGAAUUUUAUGAAGUUUGGAAUUAUGAUAUGCUUUUAUUGUUUCAGUUGCAUUUCAAAAGAAUUUACAGUUCUUGGCCUAAAAAUGGUCUAACUAAAUAAUCCACUCUUCAUAUUUAUAAUAACUAUUAAUCUAUUUUAUUAAUCAUGGGCAAGCUUUUAAUAAUUACUUUUUCACAUAAAAUAACUCAUAAUCAUUAAUUAUUGCACCAUUUAAAAACUAUAGUUAAUAAUAUUGUAUUGUAUACUUGAAAUAUGCUAAGAGAGUUGAUCCUAAGUGUUUUGUGUCUCAUCAGGCACAAAAAAAUUGUAACUAUGUGAGGAGAUAUGUUAAUUAGCUUGAUUGUGGUAAUCAUUUCACAAUGUAUAUGUAUAUCAAAAUAUCAGGUUGUAUACCUUAAAUGUAUACAAUUUUUGCUUCUUAAUUAUACCUCAGUAAAGCUGGAAAAAUAUCUUACUAUUUUAUAUGUGACCAGUAGCAGAUCAACGUACAAAAUAUAAAACAAAAAAUAAAGCAUUUGUUCAAAAUAAUGCGGAAUGCUUAUCCUUACAGAAAGUGAAUAUUAAAAGAUAUUGCAGCAUGUUCAAAAGA